rnacentral:rRNA from 1 species
UACGGGGGGGGCAAGCGUUGUUCGGAAUUACUGGGCGUAAAGGGCUCGUAGGCGGCCAACUAAGUCAGACGUGAAAUCCCUCGGCUUAACCGGGGAACUGCGUCUGAUACUGGAUGGCUUGAGUUUGGGAGAGGGAUGCGGAAUUCCAGGUGUAGCGGUGAAAUGCGUAGAUAUCUGGAGGAAUACCGGUGGCGAAGGCGGCAUCCUGGACCGGUAUUGACGCUGAGGCGCGAAAGCCAGGGGAGCAAACGGG